rnacentral:rRNA from 1 species
AGCGAACGUUUGCGGCGGGCUUAACACAUGCAAGUCGCACGAGAACUCUCCCUUCGGGGAGGGGAAAGUGGCGCACGGGUGCGUAACACGUGGGUAACCAACCCUCUAGACUGGGACAACCCGGGGAAACUCGGGCUAAUACCGGAUGUGGCGUCAGGGACUUCGGUCUUUGUCGUGAAAGGAGCAAUCCGCUAGAGGACGGGCCCGCGGCCCAUCAGCUUGUUGGUGAGGUAACGGCUCACCAAGGCUAAGACGGGUAGCUGGUCUGAGAGGAUGAUCAGCCACACUGGAACUGAGACACGGUCCAGACUCCUACGGGAGGCAGCAGUGGGGAAUAUUGCGCAAUGGGCGAAAGCCUGACGCAGCCACGCCGCGUGAGCGAUGAAGGCCUUCGGGUCGUAAAGCUCUGUGGGGGCAGAAGAAACCUGACGGUAUCCCCUUAGCAAGCACGGCUAACUCCGUGCCAGCAGCCGCGGUAAUACGGAGGGUGCAAACGUUGCUCGGAAUUAUUGGGCGUAAAAGCGCACGUAGGCGGCCUCGCAAGCUGGAUGUGAAAG